UGCCAGCCGCCGCGGUAAUACGGAGGGUGCAAGCGUUAUCCGGAUUUAUUGGGUUUAAAGGGUGCGUAGGCGGAAUAAUAAGUCAGUGGUGAAAUCCUGCGGCUCAACCGUAGAACUGCCAUUGAUACUAUUAUUCUUGAAUAUAGUUGAGGUAGGCGGAAUGUGUAAUGUAGCGGUGAAAUGCUUAGAUAUUACACAGAACACCGAUUGCGAAGGCAGCUUGCUAGGCCAUAACUGACACUGAGGAGCGAAAGCGUGGGGAGCAAACAGGAUUAGAUA
rnacentral:rRNA from 1 species